CUUGAUGGAGCCCAGCCACAGCGGCCGGCCCUCGGGGCGGUCCUGCCCGUAGGCGGCGAUGACGGCCUGGGCCUC
rfam:Streptomyces sp. SirexAA-E, complete genome.